GAUUAACGCUGGCGGCGUGCAUAACACAUGCAAGUCGAACGAUGAAACUUUAAUGAACCCUUCGGGGAGAAUUAAAGCGGAUUAGUGGCGAACGGGUGAGUAACGCGUGAGUAACCUGCCUUACACAAGGGGAUAGCCUUUGGAAACGAAGAAUAAUACCCUAUAAAACCAUAAAAGCACAUGCAAUUAUGGUCAAAGUGAUAGCGGUGUAAGAUGGACUUGCGUCUGAUUAGCUAGUUGGUGAGAUAAAAGCCCACCAAGGCAACGAUCAGUAGCCGGCUUGAGAGAGUGUACGGCCACAUUGGGACUGAGACACGGCCCAGACUCCUACGGGAGGCAGCAGUGGGGAAUUUUGCACAAUGGGGGAAACCCUGAUGCAGCGACGCCGCGUGAUUGAGAAGGCCUUCGGGUUGUAAAAAUCUUUUGUAUAGGAAGAAAAUGACAGUACUAUACGAAUAAGGGCCGGCUAAUUACGUG
rnacentral:rRNA from 1 species